GACGGCGGCCGCAGGAAGGGGAGGGCGGCCGCCGCCAUCAUGCGGGCGCCGCGGGGGCUGUCGCGGCUGCUGCUGGCGGCGCGGGGGUGGGGGCGCCUGGGCGCCAUGGCCCGCUACAGCACGGAGCAGCGAGGCCGGCCCAACUCGCCCGAUUACCGCCUCUACUUUAAGAAUGCAGAUGGUAAAUAUAUUUCCCCAUUUCAUGACAUUCCACUGUUGGCUGCAUCUAAAGAGGAUAAAGAAAUUCCUGCAAAGAGGGCAAAGACUACUGGAUCUGAGGUCCUAUAUAAUAUGAUUGUAGAAGUGCCUCGUUGGACUAAUGCAAAAAUGGAGAUUGCCACUGAGGAGCCGUUGAAUCCCAUUAAACAAGAUAUAAAGAAAGGGAAGCUUCGAUAUGUGGCAAAUAUCUUUCCUCACAAGGGUUAUAUAUGGAAUUAUGGUGCCCUCCCACAGACCUGGGAAGAUCCAAACCAUACAGAUACCAUUACAGGAUGUUGUGGGGAUAAUGAUCCUAUUGAUGUUUGUGAAAUAGGUUCAAAGGUUCGUUCUUCUGGUGAGAUUGUUCAAGUGAAGGUUUUGGGUGUUUUAGCUCUUGUUGAUGAAGGAGAGACAGAUUGGAAGAUAAUUGCUAUCAGUGUGGAUGACCCAGAAGCUCAUAAAAUCCAUGAUAUUGAUGAUGUCAAGAAGCACAAACCGGGUUACCUUGAGGCUACAGUUGACUGGUUCCGAUUAUAUAAAGUCCCUGAUGAUAAACCAGAAAAUCAUUUUGCUUUUAAUGGAGAAUUUAAAGACAAGGAUUUUGCUGCUGAAAUUAUUAAAUCCACCCAUGAACACUGGAAAGCUUUGCUUCAUAAAAAAGCUGAUGGAGGUACUAUUAAUUGCACAAAUGUUCUGGUGAGUGGCAGCCCAUUUUGUUGCAGUGAGGAGGAUGCCCGGUCAAUUGUUCAGUCGGGGAGGGGAGGACGUUAAUAAAACCAGUUCAUAAAACAGGCACCAGUGCAUGUGAAUGGAGAUUCUGUUUCCCCAGAAGUUGAUUUCUGGUACUUUUGUCCCAAGUGAUCAUCAAAGUCUUCUGGAGGUGCAUCAUCAAAUCUUAAAGUCGUCCCUUUUUUUGAAGAUGGGAAAGAGCACUAAUUGUUGGAUUCCUGUUGAAACAACUUUUCAACUUGUGUAAACCUUCUCUCUUGUAAAUAAACACUGCCAUUAUAAUAAA